rnacentral:rRNA from 1 species
AUUGAACGCUGGCGGCAGGCCUAACACACGCAAGUCGAGCGCGAAAGUCUUCGGAUGAGUAAAGCGGCGGACGGGUGAGUAAUGCAUGGGAAUCUGCCUGGUAGUGGGGGACAACGUUUCGAAAGAGACGCUAAUACCGCAUACGCCCUACGGGGGAAAGGGGGGGAUCUUCGGACCUCUCGCUAUCAGAUGAGCCCAUGUCAGAUUAGCUAGUUGGUAGGGUAAAGGCCUACCAAGGCGACGAUCUGUAACUGGUCUGAGAGGAUGAUCAGUCACGCUGGAACUGAGACACGGUCCAGACUCCUACGGGAGGCAGCAGUGGGGAAUAUUGGACAAUGGGGGAAACCCUGAUCCAGCCAUGCCGCGUGUGUGAAGAAGGCCCUAGGGUUGUAAAGCACUUUCAGUGGGGAGAAAGGUUAUUCACCUAAUACGUGAGUAAAUUGAUGCUACCCACAGAAGAAGCACCGGCUAACUCCGUGCCAGCCGCCGCGGUAA